rnacentral:lncRNA from 1 species
GGGAUAAACACUUUCAAGAUAAUAGCACUGGGGCAGGACAAAAGCAGCAUCAUUGUGAAAAUGCCUUCAACCUGAAACAUUCUGAUGGAACUAUGCAUGAACAAUGGACACAAACUGCCUAAUGUGGCUACACUGUUCCCCGGACAUGUAGUGAAGACAAGUUUCCAGUUGCACAUAGAACUUCUUGUAUUUCCCAUAAUACACUGCGUAUUUUCUAUGCUGAUGCCCCUUUGCUUAUGCCAUUUCUCUCAACCUGGAAAGCAAUCCUUCUCUUCUACCUGGGAAACUUCUACUGGCCCUUGAAAAUGCAUACCAGGGCUCAAAUAUCACCUCUUCCAGGACGACCCCUUUGUCCUGAGCAUCUAUCAAAGUGCUUGGCUCUGCAGUGGUCUCACUCCAAUCCCCAGAACAUGUGCUCCCAAAGAUGAAGAAUAUGUUUCUUCUUCACCUUUGCAUUCUUCUCAACAUCUAGCCCAAUGCUGGCACAAGAAAUGCUUUUUGAAAGAAUGAAGAAGGUGGUGGAAAUGUGACUAUGAACUGGUGACCUCCAGAACAUCUCCUCCUGCUGCUUCACAGAGCCUUGCAGCUGUCACCUGGACCUUCCUUCUGCAGCCUAUAGGUGGCAAUGAGAGGUUUCUCUCGGAUGCUUUUCUUUUCUUCAGGUCUGAUGGGUGGAAGAGUAACUGGUCGACCACAGCGUUCUCUCUACUCACAGUGAGAAAUACACUGUCCCUCUGAGAAGUCCAUCAGUUAAUAUUAACAAGGAGAAAGAGAAGGAAUAACUUGGCAGGAAGCUCUGAAUCUCCCCCUGACUCGAUUCAGGAGAUCAUCAAGGAAGGAGUCUAGCUGUAAAGUAUACCUCCCUUCCUCUGAUGAGAGUGACGACCGGGGUGCCUGGAAUCAGAGGGCAGCCUGCUCUCCUUUGGCAAACAAACACCCACUCUGAUUUGCUCUUUGGAGCCAGAUGGCAUGCAGUACUUCUGAAGUUAAAUCCAGCCUUAUGAUGACAAUGGCCAUUGCCAACAAGGAACCACUUGGACUGUGAUGCCAAACUCUUCAGCUCUUGAGUCAAGAUCUCGCUCUGUCACCCAGGCUGGAGUGCAGUGGUGGGAUCAUAGCUCACUGCCACCUUGAAUUCCUGAACUCAAGCGAUCCUCCCACUUUAGCCUCCUGAGUAGCUGGGACUACAGGUGCACACCAACACUAUGCCUGGAUAAUUAAAAAAAAAAUUGUAGACACGGAAGUCUUGCUGUGUUGCUCAGGCUGGUGUUGAACUUCUGAUCUCAAGUGAUCCUCCUGUCCUGGAAUUCCAAAAUGCAUUAGCCCCCCUCCAGUGAGCCUCCCUCAUGCACCCUGCAGAUUCUGGGCUCCCUCCAAUUCCUCAAAGCCUCAAGAGGUGGAUCCCUCCUUUCUACGGAGAGCCAGCUUUCCCACUGCAUGGGGAGGCACUGCAGAGUUCUCAAUCUUGCAACAAUCACAGAGCCCACCUCUGGAGGUGCCCCACCUUUUCUCCUGGCUACGAAGCCAAAACUAAAGUUAAGUCACAGCUUACUUGAGAUGUGCUAAGCCUGUUGAAGAUGAUAUGCCAAGGAGCCUGUAAGAAAACCAUUUGUGCUGGAGGAAACCAUGGCAGUUCCCAUGGACUGGAUUUUGAGGGUGCCUGAUUAAGGUGUCCAGACAUAAGAUGGGGAUGCUCUCAAUAUAUGGGAUUUAACACCAGGGAAGAACAAAAACUUCUUGAGAGAAUGGCUCCUAGAAGUCUGGAAAACAAGCUGGCCCCCAUGCUGGGUGAAGAUCCAAAGUUCAAUGGCUAUGGCAGAUGGUAGAAGAAAGGACUAAAAGGCUCAGCACAGAGGCUAUGCUGGAGAGGGUGUAAGAUUUGAGGCCAGGGGACCCACCAGAAGAUUAUGUUCCUCAGCAAGGCCCAGACGACUCAGCAUUCCCAGGGCUGCUGCACAUGUGCUGAUGAGACAGGCACCUGCAUCUUUAACUUUUGUGAAAGUUCUGUUCUGCAGUGGGGAUGAUGGUGUCUCAAAGCAAUAGACAUCAGGCAGUAACACGUAACCACCAGCAUCCAGGAGCAAUUUGUAAUGAUUGAGAAGAUCACAGUGACGAGGAAGAUGGACAGACCCACGGAGAAUUGUGGAGAUCAUUUAUACAAUGAAAUAGGAACAGUUUUCUAAGGGAUGAAAUAGGUAGGCAGUGAAUAAUGGUACUGCCUAAUACAUGUAAUCAAAAUAACAAAUUCCACACAACUAGGAUUAUUUCUGUGAUCUACAGUCUGUCCAUUCUGAGUGGGACCUGGAGCAGGAAGAGGGUCUGCCCCAGGUGCAGGCUGCGUUCAGGCAUCCCUGCCAUGUGCACCAUGUGUCGGCGGUGGAAAGUGAUGCAGAGAUGAGGUCAUGACAGUGGGGGAUUCUCAGUGCAGAGCCCUGGGGUUCUGCAACAAAGAGAAGCCAUUUGCAAUGAAGAACUGUGCAUCAUCAUCCCACUGUACCCUGGGAGGGAAGGAGUGUUUGAGAAUAAGUGACCAUGCAUCCAGGCCUUCUAUUAUGAGCUGGAUUCUGCCAGAGUCAUCAGUUCAUCAAGCCAGACAAGCAUCAUAAUAAUCUAUCACAAAAUGGAAAUGGAACAGCUGAGAUUGAGCCCAAGCAGAACCAGAGGGCAUGAGUACGCGGCAUGAUAGCCUUGUGUCCCUCGCUCAAUUCACACUGAUGGCCCUAUGGGGGUCCCAUAAAACAAACUGAGGGAAGGAAAAUAAAUUACCAAAGUUGAUCAACAGGUAGAUUAUCUCAGUAUAGCAGUCCAAGCUAAAAUGGACAGCUGGCUGCAUUGUAGCCAUAGUCAAGGGUAGCCUUGAAAGAUAGUGGUGACAUAAGACCUUCCCAAUGAGACGGCUUUACGUGAUGCACUUGAUCAUGCACUUUAUGUAGCAGGGAGAAUGGCCUGAGCAAAGACUAUGUAAAUAUUCAUGGGCAGUGACUACAAAUAACACUGGACUGGCUGGGCAGGGGCUGAAUGGCCUGGCCUAGCUAGGCAGGGUCUGUUAUAGAAAAAGACUGGAAGAUCACAAAGAGGCAAGAAGAAAAGUGAAGAUAUCCCUUACAGCCACACUCCGGAAUAAUCUAUAAGAAGGGAAAAGGUGAAAUUGACUCAAGAAAUGCUGAUGGAUGCAGGACCUAAGGUGGUGGGGGCUGGGAAGAUCAGUCACAAAAUCUCAGAUAAUAGAACCCAAAAGACAUCACUAUUUGAAGGAGACCAAGAAAUAGCAAGAACACUCACACCGGAAAAAAAUCAAUCACUGUAAUAUGUCUAUUGCAAUAAAAUUGAACUACCUUACAAAUGUUUUGAGAAUUAAGGGUAAAUUCUAAAAUACUUCUACGUGUUAGAAAGAAUAAAUGGAAACCAGGAACAGAAAACCAAACACUGCAUAUUCUCACUCAUAAGUGGGAGUUGAACAAUGAAAACACAUGGACACAGGGAGGGGAACAUCACACACCAGUGCCUGUCAGAGGCGGUGGGGAGAGGGGAGGGAGAGCAUUAGGACAAAUACCUAGUGCAUGCGGGGCUUAAAACCUAGAUGAUGGGUUGAUAGGCACAACAAACCACCAAGACACAUGUAUACCUAUGUAAUAAACCUGCACAUUCAGAACAGGUAUCCCAGAACUUAAAGUAAAAUGAAAUAAUAAAUAAAUAAAAUAAAAUAUAAAUAAAUAAAUGGAAAUUAAAAGCCUAACAUUAAUUACUAUUAAUUUAAGGUUUGGAUAUC